rnacentral:rRNA from 1 species
GAGGAGGGGGCGAAAGGUGAGGGGUGGGAGGGGGUGUGUCGGCGGCGGAGAAGGGAAGGGAGGAGUAGAGCUCGGGAAGGGUCGGCUGCCUCCUCGGGGGUAGGGUUAGGGCGCAGCCUCAAGUCUCCGUCCCCUCCACACCUAGCUACUACCACAUCGUUUCUUCUCCUACCCUCUAGCUCCUCCCUCGCUCGGCAACGUCUCCUCUACCCUCUUCCCCCACGCGCCACCACUCCGUAGCCGUGGCCUCUUCGUCUAGGCGCCACGCGCCACUUCGCCCUAUCCACUGCGGCCGACCGCGAGCGCCCAUGCAGGACGCCCUACUCCGGCGUCGAGGUCAGAAGAGGGGCGCCACCAGGUGCCGCGAUAGUGACAGCAGGAGUCGUCCUCCUCGCGCCCUGCGUCUCCGCCGGCCGAGGCAGGACGAGAACACGGCGGCAUGGAGACGGAAAGAGCAGGCGGCGCGGAGUCCGAUCGUCCACCUGCCGCGCCUCUCGAGAGCAGUGUUCUGUGUUCUCCUACCGAGAGCGCCUGCGGCGCGAGACGAGGAGAGCGGAGACGGCGCGAGACGAGGCCGAGCAGGGGCGGCGCGAGACGAGACCGAACAGCAGUGGCACGAGACGAGGCCGAACGGUGGCUUUUCCAACACGAAAGUCAGGUUCCUCGACUACCCAGCGGCCUAGGCAGCCGGUGGGGUACCUGAAGCGGACCUUGCGCCCGACCCUCCGCCGCGGCGGUCGGACGUUGCGGUUGGGGCUGGGGCUGGUUGGGCCGCGGCGUCUUCCACCUCCGCCUCAGGUACUACGAACAGAGGCCCGGCGCGCAGCGGCAGAGGCCCGACUCCGCUCGGCUGACGGCGCGUCACGGACGAGAGUACUUCUACUUACACAGUACAAGCAGUUACGGCCACCCAUAUAGACUUUUUUGACGUUUCCUUCGUCUUCUGUUACACGAGGGCUCUCUCUACGUGUUAUAAGUUAUGAGAAUACAGGACGUGUUACGUGGCGUGUUCCAGGGACGAGGGAAGGGACGACGUCACUCCUCUGCUCUCUCCUCUAACGACCUAGACCUUUACCUCCAGUCGUGGUGGAUGUCCUGUUCUCGCGGCGAGGAGAGGCUGAGAAGUUCAGAGAGUACGAGACGAGAAACGAGACCGACUUAAUCUUCGAUCGUAAUUUUCGACUACACAAAAUAUUUCUCACUGUUUAUACUGAUAAACCCCUUUGGUAAGUUGUUGAGUCCAAGGAUUAAAGAACUUACGGUUUUAAUUACCCUCCGGUCAUUUUCUUCAGUAGUUUCUAUGUUUCACCGAUCUUCUCCUAAAAGGAUAUUGACAAGUUUUCCAUGUACCUCUUCCACCACCACGGCGGCUCCGACAACGAGGGCCACAAUCUCUCCCGCAGUGACUGGCUACGGCGGCCGAACGGGCUCCACCGGACGUGCAGAAGUACUGGUCGGUAGAGGGGUCCACUUAGGGAAGGGAAAUCCUUUUAGAUAGAUCGAUUAAACAAACAAUCCUAACGUCUUGCACUUAGAAGGAAUCAGUAGUGGUUUAACUGUACGAGACUGGUUGAUUUUUUGUUGUUUCAUAACUUACCACGAUGAGCUUACCUCAUACUUUACUAAAUCAUUAGUGAACAUACGUUUUUCUCCACGUGUUAAACCACAACACUCUUAACUUGACCUUGCCUUAAAAGUACGGAUACAAAAAAAGGUACAGCUGGAUAGAGGUCAGCAUACGUCUAGGUGUCACCUAGUUCGCCUUAACCGUGUAAACGAUAUGUCUAACGUUUCGCGGAACCUUAGUUCCAAAAACAGUGACGUCCAAAUAACCAAGUCUAUCUAUGUUAUAUAUACCAUGUUUCAACAAAAGGCCUUCGUUGAGACAAUACGGCGAGAUCUUUCGGUUUCUCUUUGAUUGGCGAACGCUGCAAAUUCCACACCUAUAUACGUCUUUGAUGUUUUGGAAACAUCGUGCAUAGCUUCUUCUUUGAUUACCUUUACCAUAAUAGGACGGUAGGAGAACACUGCGAACUACGGGACUACGUUUUCAUUUUAUUUUAAUAAACCGAAAUGGUUCAAUAUGGGCAGUUAAAGUAUAUGUAAGAUUGACAUUAUACACCUUAUAGAGAUGUUCUGGAACUACAGUAAGACCUGUUGCAUCCGUCUAGAAUAGAGGUUCCGUGAGACCUAUCGAAUCGUCAACUACCAUCUGAAAAGUAGCAACCAAACUACACUCCGCGACAUUAACUUCACUUGAACGUCCGCUACGAACGGGCUUCUGGCUGACAUGUUCCAACAUAGCUAGAUAGAUAUAUGUUGGUACGGAGAAAGUCAAAAUACACAAAAAAAGGACUAUUGUGUAGAAUGAGAGUCUUGUGUUACGAGUAUCCUGACAACUACGAAAAGACGACAAUCUUAAAGCACGAAACAAAAAGCCGUUGACUAAUACGUCACGAUACUACAUCGAAACACAGAAGAUUUAAUAAAAAAUGAGUGUUUAUUAAAUAAUCUGUUGCCUUCUCGAUUUACGCAUGAAAACACAUCUGAAUGGAGGUAAGUGGACUAAAGAUAAAGUCGUAGAGCGUGUUACAUAAGUCUCUCUACGACGGUGAUCACUAUGUAGACACGUUUCGGUCUAGGUCUUACUCAGCUGUCUCAACCCUCAUCGCUAUGUUGUAGACCCCCGAUACGAAAAACUCGAACCUGCCUGUUACUACCGCGAAUCUUACCCCGGUAGAGGACAUACGUAAAAAGAUGAUACAGUGAUAGUGUGUUCACUAAGUGUUCCAAAUUCAUAAGAAUAUCGAAAAAAUAAAACAUCUGAUUACAAAAACAUUUACGACCCGUACGACGAAUAUGUUUGGGGUGACCUGGUUCAGGUUAGUACCAAGUCCGAUGGACAUAUCGAAACGAAAGGAUAGUACUUGACGACUG